rnacentral:misc_RNA from 1 species
GAUGAAGAACGCAGCGAAAUGCGAUAAGUAAUGUGAAUUGCAGAAUUCCGUGAAUCAUCGAAUCUUUGAACGCUCAUUGCGCCCCCUGGUAUUCCGGGGGGCAUGCCUGUCCGAGCGUCAUUGCAACCUUCAAGCGCGGCUUGUGUGUUGGGUCUCGUCCCCCGUGGACGGGCCCGAAAGGCAGUGGCGGCGUCCCGACAUGGUGCCCGAGCGUAUGGGAAUCCUCUUCCGCUCGAAUCGGCCCAUGCGGCGCUGGUCGUAACCAAAUUUUUUACCGGUUGACCUCGGAUCAGGUAGGGAUACCCGCUGAACUUAAGCAUAUCAAUAAGCGGAGGA